rnacentral:SRP_RNA from 1 species
GUCGGGAAUGAUGAUGUAUUCCUGUAAUUCAACUACUCGGAAGCUAGGUGUAGGGGAUGUUUUGGGGGCGGGAGUUCUGGGAUUAGAUUUGACUAAGCGUCUACUACGGGUAAACUUUCAACUUGAGAGUCUUGGGUUCAAAUUUUAGGAGUUUAAUUUAAGCUCGUCCAAACAAGAACAGACCUGUACCCAC